AAUAUUUGGGGAGGGGUAGAGGUCGAACGGUCAGUAGGUAUCGAGAGGUCCAGUUAAGAACAUCUGCAACAAUUGCCUGUGAGCUUAAAUUAGUUAUUUAUUUGUUAAAAAUCCAACACUUAGAACGAUCAAGCAACUUUUGAGGGCGCACACCACCAAAGCCCUCAACCCCAGUAUCAUCCUAAAGUCCGACACGCCAAUGUCGUAACCGAUCAGAGGAAAAUCCGAGGUCCUCAAAGUUUCUGUUAUUUCGUAUCCGAAGGUUCCCCUACAGUCGAUUAGAGGAGGACUUUCUUCAUCAAAUGGUGUGACCUUCGGGAACCUCGUAAACGGCCAAGGACUGGACGCAGAUAAGUCCAAGAUAUCAGUUCUUCGCGAUUUCCAAUCUUGUCGUUAUAAUAUAUUAUUCGAAUUUCCUUUCUUAAAAAAAAUUUAUUUCAAUUUUCAAAUUUUCCUAUUUAAAUUUCAAUUUUUAUGCAACUAUUAGUAAUUUUUUAUAACUUAUAAUUUCAAUUAAUGUGAGCGAGCGAAUUGGCCAAUUCUAACGUAAAAAUUCGUGUCAGUAGUUGAUUUAACCAUCUGGUCACAAGAGUAACUUUUAAUAUACGGAAUUUUAAUUGAUUAUUCAAUAGUUUUCUUAUCUCCUUCUCAGUUGGGAGCUUAGUUAUCGAUAACUGAGUGGCGCCCUUAAAUUUUUAGCUAACUUAAACCAUCAAUAGUAAAAUCCUUGUCCCACGACCUGCCACCGACUAAAAAGAGCUACCGCCCCUGUGUACCUGUUACGAAUAUAAACAAACUAAAAAAAAAGGUAUGCAAUAACGGCACAUUUUAAUUUAAGGGAGAAAAAUAAUUUAAAUAUAGAGUACUUACGACUAGAUAAAAGCAAAAUUUCAGCAGAUCCGGUGUGCACGAUCGGUUUGCAGUAGUAAAAUGCUUCCACUGCUGGGAGUACGGGCACAAAACAAAGGACUGCUCAGGUGAGGAUAGAAGGCAGAGAUGCCGAAAAUGUUCGCAGAUAGGCUAUUUCUGGAACAACAGCUUCGAUGCCCCCUGUGUAGUUCGGAAGGACAAAUGCCGGGAGCGGCAUACUGCGAGAGUUUCAAGAAAGCAAUGAGAAAUGCAAUCCAAACGAGGAACCAAAGUAAGCCUCGUAGAAUGACUUCAAGAAACGACGCUCCGGAACGCUACCUCCGGGAACAGGUAGAAGAGCCCAUUGGUGACUGACGGCGUUUGCGGGGAGGGGGAAGCCCACACCCGCACCCACUGACGGACCGGGACAAGGAAAACCAGAACCAGCUAUGGGCUUCCAACAACGACAACGACAGAUGGCCACAGUUAGUACCAAUAUAGUGCUGCUCUGUAUCCAGCUAAACACCAACCGGAGCCAGACAGCACACGACUGUCUAACGCAGAUGGCCAUUGAGGAACGGGCGGAUAUCCUGUUUGUAACGGAACCCAACAAGAGACUCAUCGCUAAGGGAGGAUGAUCCUAUGACAGAAACCUGGACGUAGCAAUCAGAGUCAUUAAUCCGCAACUCAGAGUGGAACACCAAGCCUCGGGGCGGGGGUGGGCCUCGGUGCAAGUGGGAAUAUGCACAAAGAUCAGUGGUUACAUUCACCAAAUGUGCCCAUUCAACAAUUCCUUGAGGAGUUGAGGAAGACACUACGAGACAUGCGAGAAAAAAUCCUGUUAACGGGCGAUUUCAAUGCCAAGUCUCACGCAUGGGGCUCCGGUACCGAGGACCGUAUGGGCAGUGCCCUAGCGGACCUCCUGGCAGAAUUAAACCUAGUAGUGGCCAAUGUAGGAAAUUAAUUGGUGAAACAUUAUUGUUCUUUCAGAAAACAGUUUAACUUUAAAAAAGUUACUAGGAAUAUCUCAUUAAAAUGAUGAAAACUUCUUUAAACCCGCUUUUUCGUCUGAUAAUUUUAUCCAGGUAAUAAAUUCUGAAAAAUACAUUGUUGUAAAAAUUUAUUGUAACUAUACCCAGUAAUAAUUAUAGUACAAAUAACGUAUCGAGAGAUUGUAAGAUCCAGUCUUAGGGAUAUAAUUUGUUUACGUUACGCCUAGCAAAAUAAAUGAUACUUUUAUAAUUAUGUAUUAUUUUAGAAUUUAGGAAUUAUUUCUCGUUUUUUUAUUAAAUUUAUACAAUUUUUCUAUUACUAGCUUGCGAAGAUAUAGCUGCGUUACUCUUACAUUAUAUAAAUUUUGUGUAUUUCUUUAAAAUAUAAGUAAACAUUGCUAAAGAUCGGGUACCUGAAACUGAAAUCACAUGUAAACAAAAAUGUUUAUUAGAAAGUUUAGAAAGUUUUUCAUAAGCUCUUGUAUUUAGUGGAGGGUUUUAUUUUAUACGUGGGAGUUAAAAAUAAAAAUUGUAAAAAAUGUAUGUAUUAUAAGAAAAAAAAACAAACGACGCCCCCUCAUAAAUGUUUUAAAAAUUGGAAAAACACUUCAACUUCAAUGGAAGCAGCAAUUAUUUUGGAUGGAUUUAAAAAAUAAGUAGACAUGCAUAACGUAAGAUUUAAAAACCUCAUAGGAGAUGGUGAUAGUAGCGUCUACAAAAAAAUUCAUAAUGCAAGACCAUACGAGCCUAAUUAUUUUAUUAAAAAAAUUGAAUGCCGAAAUCAUAUACUACGAAAUUUUUGUACUAAAAUUAGAGAAAUCGCUAAAACUCCUCGUUCUGACAUAAAUAUAAAAAAAUUUUUGCGCAACAAUUAUUUGAAAUUUAGAACCGCAAUUGUUUCAGCGAUAAAAUACAGAAAAAACGAAAACUGUACUUUCGAUCAAAAAGCAGAAAACCUGAAAAAUGAUAUUUUAAAUGGACCUGCACAUAUUUUUGGUAAUCAUUCAAAGUGCGCUACGUAUUUUUGUAAAACAGUUGGUCAAAUAACAAAUGCAGUUGCAUAUUCUGACUUUAAAAAUAGUUCCUUGUUUGAGUUGUUCAUGCAGGCAUUAAAACGAGUUGCAAAUUUAUCUUCAAGUCUAUUGUAUGAUGUCGAUAAUAAUUCUGUUGAGUCAUUUAAUUCAGUAGUUAACAAACUUGUUCGGGGUAAAAGAAUAAAUUUUUCAGAACGCGGUUCUUAUCAUGGAAGAUGCUUUGCGGCAGUCGUAAAUGUAAAUAACAAAAACAAAUUAAUUUGUAUUUAAAAUUAUGGAGAAAAUAUCAGGGAAUAGUGGCAUUUACACCACAAAAUUUUCAAAUCGCUUAUUAAAAACCAAAGAACUUCAAGCUACAAAAUUAAAUAAAAGAAAAAUUCGUAUUCAAAGUGCAGAUUCGGAUUAUGGUGCGACUAAUGACAUAAUGGACAUGCCAACAGAAACAUAUGACAAAAUAAAAAAUGAGUUCUUGAAUGAUUUGGCUGCUUGCGAUAUUUUAAAAAUUCCUUUGUUAACAAUUGGUCAACGUAAUAAUGAGCAGUGGGAUAAAGAAAGAAAUAAUAAAUUAACGGCUAGUAAUUUCGGAAGAAUUAUUAAUAUGAAAUGUACGACCAAUACAGCGAAUGCUGUAAAAGAUAUCUUGUAUCGUGUGGGAUUAUCUAAAUUUAAAAAAUUACCCGAACCACUACAGUGGGGAAUUGAUAAUGAAGAGAAAGCAAAGGAGAAGUUUGAACAGAUCACAGGUAUAAAGGUAGAUUCAUGCGGCUUUUUUGUUGAUAAAGAAAAAAAAUUUUUAGGUGCAACACCAGAUGGGUUAGUGGGUUCAAUGCUAUUGUUGAAAUUAAAUGUCCAUUUAGCGCGAGAAACACAAAUAUUAAAACUGCCAUAGAACAAAAAUUGAUUAAAUACUUAGAAAUAGAUUCUCAAGAUGAUAGUAAAAUAGUUUUAAAAGAAAAAGAUAAUUACAUGCAUCAAGUACAAGGUCAGCUCCACAUUACUAAUCGCCAAACUUGUUAUUUUAUAGUGUACACCUCUACAGAUUUAAAAUAUUGUAUUAUUGAGAAAAACGAUAGUAAAUAUUGGAACGGAGGAAUGAUAGAUUGUCUUGAAAAUUUUUAUAUGAAUGCCAUGUUACCAGAAAUAAUUGAUUCAAGACAUAGUCGCAAUUUACCGUUACGCAGCAUAAUAAAAAAGGAUUUGUAAAUAAUAUUUCAAGUUUAGUUUUAGAGAUUUUUACAUAAAUACAUAAUAUGAUGAUAAGCAUUUUAAUAAUAAUUAUAAUUUUUAAUUUGAACAAUAAAAGUAAAAAAAAACUUUCUCAGUGGGUUGACACCUUGUCGUGGUGAGGGAGCUCAGUAGUUCUAUCACAAAACCUGUACAGAACGAAGCUAAGUACCAAAGUUUUAAUCAUCUUUUUUUAUAUUUUUUUUAAAACAGGAAUAAUUUUAUUGUUAAAAGUAUUCAAAAAAAUAGCGAGCGUGAUUACUCGUAUUUCAAAAUCUCAUAAGAUACGUUGAUAGCAGUGUCUACACAAAAAAAACGUAAUGCAAAUCUAAUUAUUUUGUUAAAAAAAUUAAUUCCGAAAUCAUGUGCUUUAAUUUUAUACCAUUAUUAGAGAAAUCGCUAAAAUUCCUAUUUGUGCCGAUACAUUUCUCUGUCUUGAACAAAGGCAAUAAAAUUAUUAUCUUGUGGGUCACCCCAAUGGUGGUUACCUCCAGCGGUGCGUCCUAAACCCGUCAUAAAUCUUCUUCCAGCUAGCUACGCAUUCGAAGAAGGAUGCAUUAAAAGUUGCCUACUUACAAUUUAAUUUUUGCUUUAUAUCUAUCAAUUAAGAACAGUUAACAAAAAUCUAAAAUAUCUCAGGUCUGUAUUUUUAAAUUUCCUAUAAAAUGGUUUAUUUAAAUUCUCAAUACAAUGCACCGUUAUCAAAAAUUCGUAUCAACUUCAUUAACAGACAUUUUAUUUAAUAAAAAAAUAUCUAGCCAUUUAUUUUAAUCAAGAAUGUUUCUUGGAACUACAUUUACUUAUAAAGAAACACUGCAAAUGUCAAGAAACUCUUCAAGUCUAAAUUUGCGGCUAAAAACAGUAAAAACAGUUUACACGUAAAACGUAUGCGCCAGCUCCCAGAGGGUCUUGAGCCUUUUAAGUUACUAGAGCAGGCAAGCUGCUGCGCGAUCAUGUUUUGAGCCAUGCAAAUGAGCGAUAAACACACAUUUAACAAUAGCAAAUAAAAACAAAAAGGUAAUAAUAAUUGCGACCGCAGAAAGGUAUAAAUAACUCCUCGAAUAAUUUUUUUAAUAAGAAGGUGACGCGGAUUUAUGCAAAAGUGGAAUUUGCAAGUAAGAUUUUGUUGUGUUUGCGAGCUGUUUGAGUUUAGGUCACUGUGGGAAAAUUGAGGAAAGUUACAUUAGUUUCUUACCAAGGACAUUAAAACUAUUAUCACGUUGCCAUUCAUUGCUAUUACCAAACUACUAAGCACUACAAAGCAACUACCACCCCGUCUGCAUGAUACGAAAGCGGCUAAAGAGACCCAACGUCUGUUUUAACCGGAGCGGAGCGUCUGACCGACCACAACAUUCAACACUACCGCUGUUCGAGAGUACAUUAAAAUUUGUUGUAAAUCGACAAGGACACCAAGUCAAACGGUAAUGUUGUGGGAAAGAGACUGCUGGUAGACCUGCAUAGUGCAGGACGUGUCCCGCCAACAUUUCGUCCUUUUUCCAGACGCAGGACAGUCGGCCGGAAGCCACUGUAUCACUGUGUUUCCCGCUAAAUACUUCACUGGCGGAAGUAAUUAAAAAUUUCCUAACUACGUUUGUGACGACGAUCCUCAUUAAUAAUUUAUGAUUCAUUUCAGCAAAUGGAGAAAGAAAGUUGUGAUUAAUUGUUGGUUUACGUGAAACGUAAAGUGUUGAACAUCAUGAAGCUUUUCAGGAGCUGAUCAGUUAAUUUCCAACUUCAGGAACUUGACGCCUAAUUAUUAUAAAUUACGUAUUAUAAUGUAUUCAUUUAUUGUUGCUACGCUUUUUAUUUGCUGUUUCUCUUGAUUUCGUUUUUGGAAAGAAAGUGUCAAUUAACUUCCGAUCGAUUUGGGAAAUCCAUUUCAUUCACCUGUUCUUCACGGCUUGGCUAACAUUCGUCCAUCAACUAGAACAUCGUCGCCGAAGAAAAGAAAAUAAUUUAAAUUUUCCACAUUUUUUUACCAAAACGGAUUUUAGUACAAUAAGUAUUGACGUUAUUUCCCACAACUUUUGGCCAAACGUAUUUGCAUACAAAUAAUGGAAUUUAACGAAACAGAUCAAAGUUUCAAGUUUAAAAAUCAAAGGGAAAACUUUGCAGAUAAUUCAUAUUUUCGCCCUAGGGGAAAGAAUAAACUUAUCGGAAGUAUUGGAACUUUUCACAUGAUUGUAUUUUUCUUUUUUGUACGGCGUAUUUCCCACUUUGUUGUAUAACCAUCAGGCACGGGGAACUUUAGACGGGUGCUGCGAUUUAAGAUUGCCGAUGAGUAAUGAGUUAAGUUUUCUUCCUCUUUAAUUAACAUUUAAUGAAUACUACAUCACUCCAUCUUCCCUUCUUUUUACCUUAUUUCACGUGAUUGACUAAGAAGAAUAAUUAAUUAUAUGCGGACUCGCGUGUUGCUUAUAAUUUUGUCAUAACAGCAUUGUAAUUAGCGUCUAAAGUUACCCUUGUAAUACAUGCACACAACUUUUAAGAAAGACUUUCGAAAAGUUUGACUCCAAUCACCUUCUCAAUACAUUUAAAUUAAGUGGCGCAUUUAGUUAAUUGUCUAUUUGUUGCAAAUGUUAAAUUAAUAUUAAUAACAGUAUCGCAAUCAUUUUAAGUACAUGCAGCUGCAGAAAAAAUGAAAAUUAAGACACGCUGUAGACUUUAGGUCUUUUACUCGUACUUCUUGUGUAGGAUUGCAGAAAAUUAUUUUUUUUGCACAGAUUAAAUUCAUCUGUCAUUAGCAUAACUCGCAGAACUUUUCUGAUUUUGAUGUUUAUUUCAGUCGUAAUAACUUAAAUUGUAACUUUUUGUAAUUAUUUCCAGUUUUAAUUUAUUUGGGGGAGUUCUUUAUUAUUAACGAUACGAAAUGUAGGAAAAUUAAAUAAGCCUAAAAAUGUAUUUUCCAAAUGUGGCCACUGACUUAUGCAAUACCGAUUACACAUUCAAAUAAAGAGUUAUCUACAAGUUAAAUUAUGUAUAUCUAUUAAACCAAUGUACCUAUUUAAUAUUUAUGGUAUUAUUUGUUGAAAUCUCAUUUAAUUUAAAAAAAAAAGCUAUUUGUUGUUAAUGUAUUUUUUGCCACAGUGAAGUGAGUCAAGUGCGCAAAAAUUUGGUAAUUCCCCGGUCAUGGUUGACGGCCAUCGAGUGAAAUCACUCAGAAGUGAAGAUGUAUCUGUGUAUUUAAAGACUUUCACGGACGCGUACCGGAGUCUAAUUGCUGGCCAGUAAAUUAUGUAAAUUUCCACACAUGAAGCGUUUAUACCUAUAAACACAGAAACGAAACUAGUUUCAAACAGUUUGUGUUGCGCUUUGGCGGGAGCACAGUAUUUGAAAAUAAUUUGUAGAUUUAGUGGCACUCUAUAAAUAAAACGAGAACGAGUUUGAUCGAACUUUCAUUUACGAUAUGAUGACUAAACCUUGCGGCUAAUGUGUUACUUGCUAUAAUUUAUUGCGGCUACAGUCAUUAUCAAGUGUAGUGUAGUUUGUUAUUCGAAAAUUGUAACUAGCAAUGUAUCAGUUUGUGUUUACAACUGGCUUAAAUGGGGACUCGGAAUUUCAUAAGGAUUUGAGCGCAACGAACAAUCUUUGCAAACUAGUGCAAGUAACUGUAAAUGCGUCUUCAGCGGCUAAUUGUGGAAGACGAUGGUGAAAAAUUGCUACGUCUUUUUUAUUUUAGUGGUGCUUGCGGUAACGGUGUAUAUUGCAGAGACGCGACCUCAAUUUAAAGAGUCGCUUGAAGCCAUCUCCAAAGUGACUGAAGGGAUUAAUGAUAGCGCUAUCACUUUUAUUAAACAUCUAACCGGCGAGGCGUUAAAAGAUGACAAGAAUAAAACUAAAACCAGGAUUUUGUUCCGAGGGGAUUUGCUGGGCGGGGAGUUCGGCGACCAGGACAUAAUAUUUCCCGACACGUACCAAGUGAUUUUCAAUGAUGUUCCGAAAAUCGACGGUCCUCCUAAGUGUGCCGAAGGCAACACUUUUUGUGAGGACUUUGAUUCUUAUCCUUACAACCACGUGAAAAACGUGCUUAAGCGCAAGCGGGUGCAUACUGAUUUAUUCGGCAAGGACGAACCCCUCGAUGAGCGCUACAGCAUCACCAACAGAAACGGCGACUUCGAGGCGUUCAUCUGCACGAGCAUAUCCAAAACGAUUUUCCCCCGAGUUGGCAUCAACAAAAACAACAAGUGGAAGGUCAUAAUCAAUCAAGAGGAAGACGGAUACAUUCAAGGGAUUAGGACGGAAAUUUGCCGAAAGUAAAGGGUUGAAAGUUGAUUUCUGUGUCGGUGACAGAGUGUUGCGGGGAAGGGGCGGCUUGUGACCUCAUCGGCGACAGGGCGAACGGCUACAUAACCAGCUGCAAGCAAAAAUACAUGUUGCGGAGGAUGAUGUCUUUAUCUGAAAAUGGGGAUCCCGUCCCGGACACAUUCCAGUUACCGUCAGCCUGCUGCUGCUCUUACAGGAAGGAUCUGAGUUUUUUGUCCCGAUUUGGCGCCGACGAUGUUUCCUUAAGGUCGAAAGGGAAAGGAAAAUAAAAUAAAGAAUGUGAUAUAAGUUAUGUGAUUGAACUUUUUAUUGUAAAAACGGCAGCGGAAUUAUUUAUUGAAUAAAAUCAUACAGAAGCAAACCACAACCAAUGAACGAACCCUUCUCCCCACCUUUGGCCGAAACCCUAAACCCUUUCAACUUUCCUAAUCACUUAUUUACGAUUCUAUUCAACAUUAUUCUUCGUGGCUGCAAACGUCGAAUGUGGGUGAAGUGUGUUUUCGUCUGUGUUUAUUUUAUGACUAUGGAAGUGGUUAGUUAUUUCUUUUCUCUUUUUCUGGAUUUUCUUAUAGUUUUUUUAGUCAGUAUUCAAGCAAGUCCAGCCUGGCAGAGAAACAAUCACAUCGUUUUUCCGAACUCGCUAGAAGAGCAUGAAACUUUCAUUGCUCCAAAGUGUAGCGGUAACAAAACAUUUUGUGAGGACGUCGGACAUUACCCCAAAAAUAAAUUUAGCGUAAUAUUAGAAAACACCACAUACGGGGAAGAUUAUUUCAUGCCGCAAAGCACCGCCGAGGAAGAAUCUAUCAAAAAUCGAUUGUACGGAGUAACUGAAUAUUACAUCUGCAAUUCUCACGUCCAAACGCAAUAUCCCAAAGUGGCGCAAAACGUCAGAAACGAGUGGAAAUAUGUUUACAAUUUUGAUAACUACAAGCAAGGCGUAAGGACAGAAGAAUGUGUAGCUGAAACAGCUUGCAGAUCAUUCCAGGGAACGCCGCGGGAAGUUAGGACGAAGUGUAUGCAAAAGUACAGCGAUAUGUUGCUGUUGGUUGCCGAUGAAUACGGAAAACCUGUGUGGGAUUUAUUCUGGUUUCCUUCCGCCUGUGUCUGUGCAUACGAACCAAUUAUUAAUUUUAACCGAGUUUAGGAGAGUUUGCUGACAACUAAUUUUCCUUAAAUUGCGAUCAAUAGACGUGUCUUUGAAGCUGAAAUGUUAUACCAUUUCCCGGUACAAUAAAACUUUGAUUCUAUACAUUCGUUUUUUUUUUUCCACCUUUUCUAAUGAAAUAAAAGUAAACAUGAGUUUUGAUGUCACGGCGACCUGUAAAUUCUUGUGAAAGAAUUUCGUAGUCGAAUACCCUUCGGAGCCGGUCUCCUGCUGUUAGUGAAAAUGAUGGUCAAGGUGGUGGACGGUAAGUAUCAUUAACUCUUAAUCCUUUGCUGUUAGUGUCAGAUGUACCUGUUCAGAAGACAGUACACAACCUUCAGUGGCAGUGGAAGAAAUGUAGGUUUUUGUGUUGGUUUUUGCCGUUUUCAAAGAGGUAGGAAUAUAUCUUGUGAAGCGCUGUGUGAUUAAGCUGUUACAAGUUUGAUUAAUAAAUUGAUUUUUAGUUGGGCAUUCAAGCCAUGUCAUUUAAUCCAGCCAAGAUGGAUGAUCGCAAGAGUUUGACCUUUCCGGAUUCGAGUGAAAUUGGGGGUGAUUUUUUGUACGAGACGGUAGUCCCCAACUGCCAAAAUCACACGUACUGUGAACACUUGGACCGCUACCCUAAAGAACUAUUUUCCAAAAUAUUAAAAAGCCGCGAAAAGGAGUUUUCUCGGUACUUUCAGAGUAUGGCAGUAAUAGAGCCCAUUAUGAGUAGUAACCAAGACACUUCCUGUAUUUGUGCAUCACGCAAAAGUAUUAUAUACCCAAAAGCGGCAUAUAAUAUAAAAAAUAAUCUGAAAUUUAUCUACAACUUCGAUGGAUACAAACAAGGAGUGUCCGUAGAGGUCUGCGUGAU